AAAUUGAAGAGUUUGAUCAUGGCUCAGAUUGAACGCUGGCGGCAGGCCUAACACAUGCAAGUCGAACGGUAACAGGAAGCAGCUUGCUGCUUCGCUGACGAGUGGCGGACGGGUGAGUAAUGUCUGGGAAACUGCCUGAUGGAGGGGGAUAACUACUGGAAACGGUGGCUAAUACCGCAUAACGUCGCAAGACCAAAGAGGGGGACCUUCGGGCCUCUUGCCAUCAGAUGUGCCCAGAUGGGAUUAGCUAGUUGGAGGGGUAACGUCUCACCAAGGCCAGGAUCC
rnacentral:rRNA from 1 species